GCUCUGGUGGUAUAGUGAUUAGAGCGUCCGCCUCGGAUGCGAGAGGUCCUUGGUUAGAUCCACGCUCGAGUCAUAGCA